rnacentral:lncRNA from 1 species
AGGAGAUGGUGUGGGGGCUUCAGCCUCUGACACACACUACACCCCCAAAAAGGACCAACAAAAAUGAACUCCAAUCCGAAAAUGACAGCCUCUUGCUGCACAAAUGCUGAGUGUAACGUUGCUAUGUUUCUUUGCCUUACUCUGUGCCAGAAUGCGGCCCCUCUAGCCCUUGACUUGGAAAAUCUGGAGCUACCACUGAAGUCAACAAUGGCUACUGAAGGCACAAAAGGCCGUACAUGGUGGGUGAGGGGGGCUCAAGAACCGGAGAAGUGGAGUCGCCAGGCCUCAGAACAGCGCCAGGGAUCUGGGGAGCAGGAACUACCAGGGAGAAGCCUUCCCCUCGAGCUCCUGGACUCGGUCAUCAGUGUGCACCAGUCACUCAUCUAAGAUCAUCUGGG